AUCUGCCUCUAUUGCAGUCAUGAACAUCCGCGCAGUCUUCGGGGAUGCCCAUCUGGAAUUAUUGUCCAGGGAGGGACAUCAACGUACAUCUGUGACUCAUGAUAAUCUACUACAGGACUUGGAAGCUACAGUACAGCUGCACAUAUGCGUAGUACAGUAUAUAAAACAAAUGAAGUAAAUGUGGCGCGGCGGCACGUUGUAGUAUGCUAUUCUUCGAUUUGUUUUCAUUCAUAUUUUAAAUAGCUAGGGUUUUGUGAGAAAUAUCCUAUAAAUAUAUAGUGGUGGAAUAUAUCGCUUACAAGUGGCAAAUUUUGGAAUUACUUGUGCUGCUUUUCAUGACGAAUGAAGCAUUGUAACUAUAGUGCAUUCUAGUAACCCGUCUAAACUUUAACUUUGUAUAGGUACAGUAGACACACCCGCUUUGAUCUUGAAAAAUGAGUAAAUUACGAUUUAAUUUCCGUACAUGCAUUGCCCCGUGUGGUAACGACGACCUUCCAAACAUGGCCACCACGUAACCAUGGUGGCACGGCGCACCGACGCCACCCUCAACCAAUCACACCAGAUUUGCAAAGGGCGCUUGGUAGUUUAAAAACUGGACCGCGCACAGGCCCUUUCACGGUAAUUCGGCUUCAACUUCCGGUCGUGGCAAAACAUUGCUUUGGCUACUAUUUCACGUGAAAGUUGACGUCCUAUGAUAUCCUUACAAUUGUACAUUUUGAAUCAUAAUAACAUCGAAUUUAAUUGAAAUAUGUUAGGCUUAGCUUUUUUUUUUUGUUGUUGCACCGUUGGCUGCCGUAACCGCACAGGCGGUCGCAAAGAAAUAACUUUUCACCGGUAAGUAUGUUUCAUCUUAACAUUCAUAAUUAAUUACUAUAUAUUUAUCGCAUUGUUUUACAUUACAGUGUGUGUAUGUUUACUAUACUUUUGCCCUGAUCAGAAGUCAGUUCCCGUUGAUCAUGGCGAAACCAAUGACGGAUGCAGAGUGCGCAGUCCAGUUUUUAUUGUACGUCAUUGGCGCUUGGAUACGCACCUCUAAAGAUCCACCAAUCAGGGGUCCACAAGUUCAUAAUAAACUCCUAACUCCACGAAAGCUCAGGGAUUUUCUUCUAAACGGUUUUGCUCGAAAGCGACUCCAGAACUACGCAGACCUAGUUGACGAAAGCUUCGACCACCGUAAGGGAAAGUAGUGGUUGAGCGCCUCCGUGGGAUUUUAACUUCUGCUCAGAGUAGUAUCACUUGCUUGCUUCGGUAGCAGCAGCCACGACACAGCAGCGAAGUUUGUCCAUUAUGGCGACGGCGGCUGCUUGUCAACCACGACGUGCCUUGGUGGAAAUACCUGCUCCACAGCCCCGAAUUGAGGGUGGAAUGAAGGAGGCCCUAUCUGGAGCUCUUACGCUCCCGUUCGCCUCCGUCUCCAACCACGAGGGACAAAAACAUUUCCACGUCCAACGCUGGGCCGGCUCAUUCACUGGAUUUUGCCAUCGAUGGCGAAUGGAGUGGGAACGAUGACCAGUAUACGAAAAUGGAUGAAAGCCAAGCAUCCAUGUCUGAAUGGCAUCUCGUCCAACUCACUAAAGCCCUCAUCUUGCUUGAGCAGAGCCAAAAAGCGAAGUUUCAGACCUCGGGUCUCAAGUAUCUUCAGGAUGAUUUACAGCUCAAGAAGACUAAUUUUUAUAGGUCAAUUCCAUACUCUCGCUUUGACUCCAACAGGGAUGCUCACUGCUACAGGAAAGCAUAUCCCCACCUCGUGGCGUUCAAAGUCAGUAGAACACAUUUACUUGAGGAGUUUGUAACUGGAAAUUUAACUGCUUCCACCAUGGAAACUCAUUCAUUUUAUUUGCCAAAAUAAGAGGCAUUUAUAAUCUUUUGGUUGCUGCCAAGAUUUGGUAGACUGAAACCACAACAAAUAGUUAAAUGAAUUCCUCUCUAGCAGAAUCAAAACUGUCUUUUUUUUCCCCCCACAGGGAUAAUUUUUGUUCAGCGCUUGAAAUGGAUGUUUGCAUCGUGCAAAUGAAGUGGGUCUAAAUGUGCAUUGUGUAUUUUUUUGGGAUAAUGAAUGAGAAGACACACACGUUGGCUGGUCUCAACCUGUUUUAAUCCUCUUUCUGUAUUAUAAAGGAGACACAUACACCGAUUUCUCUUCACAAUUACUCUCAAAACUCUGACACUCAGAAGUCUCACAGACAAGAGGAAAUAUAUCACAAAAACAAGUUAGUUACAUUGCAACAGAUGAUAAGAAUAUUAAAAAAAAACUUGCAGAAACUCACAUACCUGUAUUAUAAAGGAGACACGUCACGGAUGUUCAUAGAUUUCGCUUCACAAAUACUCUGAAAACGCUGCAAAAUCAAGAACACGGUCACCACACUGCCUCUGCUAACACUCAUUCGCAUUGAACAAACCACAUGGUCGUCAUCAACGCACACAUGGCAUCCUCUCCACUCCUCCCUCAACUAGCAAGUUUAUGCUUAAAAUCAAUAAAACAUAUUCAACACUGCGCGUCUGUGACUACACGCACUUUGCAAUUGUUUUAAACAAACAUAUAUUCACCAGGGUUCCUUGCGUAAUCAACAUCUCUUAUAACAUUAAUGGAUAAUAAAUAAAUAAUUCCGACUGAUAAAUUGAGUUGAAAUCGAUCUCUAUUGGUUGUCAAAUUAAAAAAAAAAAAAAAAAGGCGGAUGUUGCAUAUCAGCCCCGCAGCCAAUUGGUCUCGCAUUCUUGUUAGGAUAACCCAAUUUAAACUAAUCUGUUGCCACUUGGUGCCUCUCACCCAGGUUACAUGUCAGGAGUGGGGCCAAGUUCUUCUCCAGAACAAAGAGUGGGAUGCUGUGUUAGAAUCACACCUUGGGGCAAUCUAGAUUGUCCAAUUGAUGCAUGUUUUUGGGAUGUGGGAGGAAACUGGAGUGCCCAGAGAAAACCCAUCCAGGUAUGGGGAGAACAUGCAAACUCCACACAGAGAGGGCCAUAAUUGAACCCAGGUCCCCAAAACUGUGUGCCCAACAUUUUCCAGCUACGUCACCAUGCCGCCCCCUCUUACAGUCAGUGGUGAAAGUCCUCUGGAUCUUCCAAGAUUUCCGGAUUUUUAAAUUUUCAUGAAAAUUGCUCCGGAAAAUUUAGGAAAAAUUGCCUAAAAAUAAUCCAGUUAUUAGUUAACAACAUUGCAAGAAUAUGCGUUUGAGUUCGUUGUUUUGCUUUCACGAGUGUAGCCAUGUUGAGGCACUAACACGAGGAACAGUAAUAGUUAAAAUAUUAAAGGCAACUCAUUAUACUAUUAGUAUUACUAGAUUUAUAUCCAAGAUAGUGACCAAUGUGGUCGAGCGUAUCAGUACAACGCUACGUAACAAGUUUGAGAUUUAAGCGUUAAUAGUAAUUACUACAGAUUAACUUCUUUAACAUGUUUUGCUGUACGGUGUAGAAAUUGUAGGAUAUAUUUUCGUGUAUAUUCUAUAUGUAUAAUGUGGGGAAAGGGACAAAUUUAGAUGGCCUUUUACUAAAUAGUUCACUUAAUUCAUUUGUUUUGAGAUAAAAUGGCGUAUUUUAAGCAUAUUUUAAUGACAAAUGUGAUUUUGUGCUAUCCGUGGAUGGAUGGCGAAAAAAUCUGGACUUGGCCCCUGGGGAACUUCUGCCCAAUUUUUUAUUUUUUAUUUUGGUCAGGACUUAGAAAUUGUACUUUCAAUUUGUGUCUGAAUUUUGUUUACAGAUAUCGCCAGAAUGCAUUCACGUAUCAUUCAUUUUUUUAAAACAUUUCCCAGGGGAACAUGCCCCCGAACCCCCCUGCUCGCAUUUGUAUUUUCAGGAAUUUUCACGAAAGUCCACUUUCAUCUCUAUAGAGUGAUCAUUAAAAUUAAAUUUAUUUCCAACAACUAAUCAUAACACUUAUAAAGCAAAAUAAAAUCGAAUUGAAAGAUGUUUAUAUAUUUAUGUCUCAAAUAAAUGUUUUGGCCACAAACGGGUUUUGAUCUAAGCUUUCAUACUAGAAUACAAUCGUGUUUUUUUUUGUUUUUUUUUUUUUAAAUUAAUGAAGGUUUGAACUUUAUCCUUAAACAAGAGCAAUGUGGGAAGAUGUUAAUUCAGUGUGUGGUUAGGUGUUUAACAGCGUUAAAACAUAAAAUAAAAAAAAAAUGUACCAUAAUUUCCGGCCUACAGAGCACACCUGAUUAUAAGCAUCACCCAGUACAUUUGUAAAGGAAAUACCAUUUGGUACAUACAUAAGCUGCAGCGUUUUAAAACCUUAGCUUAACUUAACCUUGCAACAACACAGUAGCAUGAACAGGGCUGGUAAAAUAUACAUACUGGUGAAAAAAAAAAACAGCCACAGUAGCAACAUGGUAGCACAGCACUAAUAGGGCUGGUUUAACAAAAAAAAAAGCAUACCUUAAUCACUGAGAUGCGGCAGCAACACACUAGUGUGGCGCUAACGCUAGCACGGUGGUAAUGCAAGCGCGGCGCUAACAGGGCCGGUUGAAAAAAAAGAAAGUGUUAGGGGUCGCCACAGCGUGACAUCUCAGAUGCACCCUCAUAUGUGUUUGGCACAGUUCUUAUGCCAGAUGCCCUUCCUGACGCAACCCCUCUCGGGGAGUGGAGACCCCAGUGGGAUACGAACACACAAACCCUGGUUUACUAAACCAAUUCUCUAAGCACUGAGCUAUGGGGAAGGUUAAAAAAAAAAAUACCAGUUAAAAUCACUGAGACACGGCAGUAACACCAGCAACACACUAGCACAGCGCUAACAGGGCCGUUAAAAAAAAAAAAAAAACAUACCCGUAAAAGUCACUUCCUUGGCACAUAUAUUCCACUGGUCUCACUCAUAUCUUUUAAAUUAGUCUCAUCACCGCAUAAGCCGCAAAGUUGAAAGCAUGCGAAAAAAGUCAUGGUUUACAGGCCGGAAAUGAUGGUAAAUGAAAAAAACAAACCAGUAAUCCCAAAAAAAAAACGUGCACUGUAAAUGGAAAAAAAGCCAUCACGUAGAUGAAAAAAAUAUAUACAGUGAAGGUGUCUUUAUGCAGCUAACGACCUCACACGGGUGCAUCUGUUUCAGGAUAAUACAUGGAGAGGAGGUGGACUUUUAAAGGUGGACUAACAGGUCUUUGAGGGUCUUCUAGCUGAUAGACAGAUGUUCAAAUACUUAUUUGGAGCUGUAUCACACAAAUCGUUAAAAAUCCUAUAUUGUGAUUUCUUGAUUUUUCUUUUUCGAUUGUUUCUCUCACAGUGGGCAUGCACCUACGAUGAAAAUUUCAGACCCCUCCAUGAUUUCUAAGUGGGAGAACUUGCAUAAUAGCAGGGUGGUCAAAUACUUGUUUUCUUCACUGUAUAAUGAACAUAUUAAAAAACUGUAGUUAUAGAACUAAAUAUUACUUUAGUGAUUCAAAUGAUUGGUAAGUCAGAGAAAGAAAAAACCUUGUUCUGAAUAGUUUUGAGUUUGUACAGUCAACGGCAGACUACUAUUUUUUUAACACACCUCUUUGAACAAAUUGCCCAAUUGCACAACUUUAAGAAUGUGUACUCUAUAUCAUGAAUGCUGGGUCUUGCUGUUUUUCUAAGAAUCUACUUCACCUAAUGGUGACUUUAGUGACAUUAAGCAAUAAAAAAAAUAUACUGAAAAUGUGAAUUAAUCUUGUUAGUCACAUUGGACUGCUAUUAUUUUGAAGACUACUGUAAGUAAGGUAUAAAGUAUUUGUACUUCAUUGCUUGACACCUUUAAAAAAAAAUGGCAAAAUAUCCAAGAUCUUUUAAAAGUUCAUUAUUAUUAAGUUCCUUAUUAUCUCUUGAAAGCUAAAAUGUGUAACUUUUUUUAUAUGUAUAACACAUCUAAAAAUUGUUUGUUGGACUUGAUUUUUUUAUAUAUAGUUAGUUAUUUUCACACAAGCCCCAACUAAAGAAGAUGACACAAUGCACAUGAAGCCUACCAGCUCUUCUCACAUCUUCUUCUUCAUCUAUUUUUCAGCAUUUGAUUUACAACAUUGACUCGGUCUGUUCUUCGUGGUGCAUCAAAAAUUACAUUUUACCUUGCAGUGUGGCCCCUUGUCGCUCCUGUUUAGAAAAAAAAACAAACUACACAUUUUAGUAUACAUACCUGUAAUGAAAUCUUUAACAGCUCUCAAAUGAUAAAAUGCAGCUUAGCCAUGUGCUCCAAUCUUUUAAAUUUUGACUUAUGUUUUGUGAAAAUAAUCUGCAACUUCAAAAAGUGUGUUUGAAAUAUGCAAUUGAGGUUUAUUGUAUCUCAACUGUAUUAAAUUAUUUUGUCUUGGAUUGUUGACGUUUGCUGCAUUCUCUCACUUCACACUAAAUGUUCACUGUUGUCGUCAGGAUGAAGAUGGCUCAGCUACACAGCCAGUCAAUUGUACCUUGUAUUCACGAGCUGCAGAGGAUGACUGGAUGUGAUGACAACUCCGUGGACGUACUAUGAUUUGAAGAGUGGGAGAAUGACUUUUUUUAAAAAUUAUUUUUAUGAAAAUUAUAAUUUUUUGGACGAGAUCCAAAAUACAGAUCGCCACAAUAGUACAACAAUAGUACUACCCUGAAAUUCCUCAUUUAAUCAAUUUCCCACAAUGUUUUCUUUGUAGUGCACCACUUAGGGCAUUGCAACAUGCUUGAAUCAAUGCAAUAGAAUAUUUUAUUUUUUAUAACUUUGCAUUGACCAUUUUAGAUGUACAGUGUACUUAUUUUGUAUGUGUGUUAUAACACAUUUGGUGUAAUUAUGAGUUUACUUUCUGGAGACUUUGUUGUGGUUCCUUAUUGCCUAAUCUUUUACUUCCUACUGUCGUACCUCACUAGAUGGUGUACAUGUUACAAGUGUGUUUACAAAUGAGAACUAAAUCUAUUCAUCCAUUUCCUACACCAGUAAUUCUAAACGGUGAUUUCGAAAAGGUUUGACGUUGUUACACUUGAGCACAUAAAGGAAGACUGACUUUUGAACACUUUGGUCUUGAUAAUUAUGGACUUUUUGUGGAACAUUCAUCUCAUGAAUCAAUUGCCAGAACUCGUUAUAUGAAGCAAUAUUGUAUAAAUCCGGGGUGCGGAAUGUGUUAAUUGCGUUCGACGAAAAAAAGAUAAUCUUGGUCGAUCGCAUGACUGUGUGACAAAAAAAGAGCCUAUCAUCCUUCCUGUCACUUGAUUCAAGUGUGCCCAAUGCAUCGAUCGAGUUGCAUCGAUUGACUGACUCAGUUUGACCGCAUGUCACAACUCAUUGCGCAAAUAACGGCGCACUCUCGCAAACUAGUGAAAUGGUCUCGCAUUUAUGUCUUUAUCUUCUUCUUCUGUCUUCUAAAUGUGUGAGGAGCCAGACCAAGUUAAAAAGACUAACAAGUACCCCCCGAGAUAGAUCGUGGGACGUUGGCUGCUUGAAAGUAGAUCUUGCGACAAUCAAGUUUGGGAAUCCCUGAUCUAAACUGUGCACAUUUAUCAUGAGGUCAAAACAGUAGGUUAUGAUGGUGGUGGUAUUGAUAUCGGUGUUGACAUUGCUUAAAAUUUUACUUUAUUCAUUUUUAUAUGUGCAGGUAAUGUGUCAAUUCUCACGUUUUUAAUGCACUCUGAAUUGUGCUUUACUGUGGUGAAUUACUUGUCAAACACAAAAUGUGGCCAGAUGUUCCUUUAUAUGUGUCUGGGGGAAGAGAGCACGCUUGUGAUUAAUUGCA